rnacentral:tRNA from 1 species
GGAGAAGUAUUUCAGUUGGUUAGAAAGUUCGCCUCAUAAGCGGAAAGCCGUGGGUUCAAGUCCCACCUUCUCCA